rnacentral:lncRNA from 1 species
GUCGCAAAAUUUGGGUUCAGAACCCCAAAAUUUGGGGCUGGGCUCCUGAAAAUGGAGCUGGGGUCCCAAAAUCUGAGUCCAGGAGCCCAAAUUUGGGGUUGGGGUCCCAAAAUUGGAUUCUGGGACCCCAAAAUUUGGGUUUGGGACCCCCAAAAAGGAGGCAGGGUCCCAAAAUCUGGGACUGGGACCCCGAAAUCUGAGUCCAGGACCCCCAAAUUUGGGUCCAAAACCCCAAAAUCUGUGGCUGGGACCCCAAAUUUGGGGUUGGGGUCCUGAAAAUGGGGUUGGGACCCCAAAAAUUUGGGUUUGGGACCCCAAAAUCGGGGGGUGAGACCCCAAAAUCUGAGUCCAGAACCCCAAAUUUGGGGUUGUGACCCCAAAAUUUGAGUUUGUGACCCCAAAAAAGGAGCCAGGGUCCCAAAAUCUGGGACUUGGACCCCAAAAUCUGAGUCCAGGACCCCAAAUUUGGGGCCAAAACCCCAAAAAUUGGAACAAGUGACCCCUGGUGUGGUCAGUGUCCACUCCCCAGUGUCCACUCUGUCCAUGGAUGAGUGACCACAGGUGUGGUCAGUCCCAGGUGGUCACUCGGUCACUCCCAGGCCAGCAGAUGGUCAAUGUCCACUCCAUUGUCCACUCUCUCCAUGGAUGAGUGACCACAGCCAUGGUCAUUUCUGGGUGGUCACUCGGUCACUCUCAGGCCAGCAGAUGGUCAGUGUCCACUCUGCAGUGUCCACUCUCCAUGGAUGAGUGACCACAGCUGUGGUCAGUCCCAGGAGGUCAGUUGGUCACUCGGUCACUCUCAGACCAGCCUGUGGUCACUCAGUGGUCACUCCCAGAUGGUCACUCAGUGGUCAGUGGUCACACUCAGACCAGCCUAUGGUCACUCAGUGGUCACUCAGUGGUCACUCUCAGGUGGUCACUCAGUGGUCACUCAGUGGUCACUCCGUGGUCACUCUCAGGCCAGCACGUGGGCCACGGGCACGCGCCGUGUCCGGCCUCCGGCCGUGGGCGGCACCACGAUGGCCGCGGGGUCACCGCGGUGGUCACCCUGGUGGUCGCCAUCGUCGUCGUCGUCGUCGUCAUCGUCGCCGUCCGGGGGCAGCCCUGCGGGGAGCGGUUCCAGAACGUUCCGCGGGGUUCCGGAACGUUCUAUGGGGUUUCCUUUGGGUUCUAUGGGGGUUCCGGAACGUUCCGCGGGGUUCUGGGAGGUUCUGGGGGAGUUUCUAGAAGGUUCUGUGGGAUUCUGUGGGGGUUCUGGAAGGUUCUGUGGAGAUCUAAGAAGGUUCUGGAAGGUUCUUUCGGGGUUUCUUUUGGGUUCUAUGGGGCUUCCGUGGGGUUCUGGAAGGUUCUGGGGGAGUUUCUAGAAGGUUCUGUGGGAUUUCUGGAAGGUUCUGUGGGGUUCUAUGGGGGUUCUGGAAGGUUCCAUGGGGCUCUACAGGGGUGCCAUGAGAGUUCCGGAAGGUUCUAUGGGGGUUCUAUGGUGAUUCUGGAAGGUUCUAUGAGGGUUCCAGAAGGUUCUAUGAGGGUUCUGGAAGGUUCCACCGGGUUCGAUGGGGCUUUCUAGCAAGCUCCAGGGGGUUCCAUAGGGUUCUAGGUGGGUUUCUAGAAACUUCCAUGGUGGGGGGGUGUGUGUGUUUCCAAUGGGCUUCCAGAAGGUUCUACAGGAUUCUAGA